rnacentral:rRNA from 1 species
CCUACGGGAGGCAGCAGUGGGGAAUCUUGCGCAAUGGGCGAAAGCCUGACGCAGCAACGCCGCGUGCGGGAAGAAGGCUCUCGGGUUGUAAACCGCUUUCAGCAGGAACGAAAAUGACGGUACUUGCAGAAGAAGGUGCGGCCAACUACGUGCCAGCAGCCGCGGUGACACGUAGGCACCAAGCGUUGUCCGGAUUUAUUGGGCGUAAAGAGCUCGUAGGCGGUUCGGUAAGUCAGGUGUGAAAACUUUGGGCUCAACCCAAAGCCUGCAUCUGAUACUGCUGUGACUAGAGUUCGGUAGGGGAGCGGGGAAUUCCUAGUGUAGCGGUGAAAUGCGCAGAUAUUAGGAGGAACACCGGUGGCGAAGGCGCCGCUCUGGGCCGAAACUGACGCUGAGGAGCGAAAGCGUGGGUAGCAAACAGGAUUAGAUACCCUGGUAGUCCACGCCGUAAACGUUGGGCACUAGGUGUGGGUCUCAACCAACGAGAUCCGCGCCGUCGCUAACGCAUUAAGUGCCCCGCCUGGGGAGUACGGCCGCAGGUUAAACUCAAAUGAAUUGACGG